rnacentral:rRNA from 1 species
UCCUACGGGAGGCAGCAGUAGGGAAUUUUGCGCAAUGGAGGAAACUCUGACGCAGCAACGCCAUGUGUGGGAUGAAGCAUUUCGGUGUGUAAACCACUGUCAGCAGGGAAUAAAAGGUCGCCUCGGCGGCACUUGAAUGUACCUGCAAAGGAAGCCCCGGCUAACUUCGUGCCAGCAGCCGCGGUAAU